GCACCAGCACAGCCACGGCCAGAGGCCGCCGGAGCCGCGCCGAGAGCAGCCACGGCAGUGAGGUACGGACAGAUGGACGGGAGGGCUUGGGGUGCUGCUGGGAUGGCUUUGGUGGGAACCUGUGGGGAAACUGAGGCACAGGGCACUCCCCAAGGGACGUCAACCUCUGCCACUACUCCUGCAGGGACAGGGAGAACCCCAUCGCAGUGCCAGGUGGCACUGUCCCUGUGUCCCUGACCCCAGGUCCUGGGCCCGGCUGUCCCACUGUCCCAGUCCUAUAGGUCCUGGUCCCAUAGGUCUCUGUUCCAGGUGUCCAACUCCCAGACGCUCCUGUUCGCUGUGUCCCUAUCCCAGAUUUCCCUGUCCCAGAUGUCCCCCGUGUCCCUGUUCCUAUUAUCUUAGGUAUUCCUGUCCCAGGUGCCCCUCUAACCUCUAGAUGUCCCUGUCCCCAGGUGUCCCUGUUCCAAGUGUCCCAACUGUCCCUUUCUCCGUGUGUCUCAGUCCCAGGUGUCCCUGUCCCCAGGUGUCACAGACCCAAGUGUCCCUGUCCCAGAUGACCAAGGUGUUCCAUGUGUCCUGGCACCAGAAAUCCCAGUCCCAGGUGUCCCUGUCUGCAAGUGUCCCUGUUUCCAUUGUCUCCAGGUGUCCCUGACCCAGGUGACUCAGGUGUCUCUGUUCCCUUAUAUCCCCAUUCCUGGUGUCCUUGUUCCAGGUGUGCUGUCCCUAGGUGUCCCUGUUCUUAAUGUCCCAGCUGUUGCUGUAUCCUAGACCCAAGUGCCCCUAACCCAGGUGUUUCUACUCCUGUUAUCCCAUGUGUCCUCAUCCCACAUGUCCUGACCCAGGUGUUCAGUCCCAUGUGUCCCUACUCCCAGUGCCCCACGUGUUCUUGUCUCAGGUGCCCUAUCACCCAGAGUCCCCAUUCCCAACCUUCCAGGUCACCCAGGUGUUUCAGGUGUCCCAGCAUCAGGAGUCCCUAUGCCCCAGCAUCCCAGUUUCCAAUCUCUCAGGUUUCCCACAACAUCCCAAGUGUCCCUGACCCACGUGUUCCAGGUGUCCCAACAUCACAUCCCUAUCCCUCAUUGUUCCUGUUCUCAGUCUUCCAGGUGUCCCUGUUCCUGGGUGUCCCAGUGCCACAGCUGUUCUUAUCUCCUAGUAUUCCAGAUCCAGGUGUCCUGACCCAGCAC
rnacentral:lncRNA from 1 species